UUAGAAAGGUAGGAAUCGAACCUACACCUGAGAGAUCAAAACCCCCCGCAAUUCCAUUUUACCACUUUCUA
rnacentral:tRNA from 1 species